AUGUACGACGAUAACGAUGACAAGAACAAGAAGCACAACUACAUCAUGAAUUCUCUCCAUGCAUUGUUCCCUUCAAAGACCAUGAAACAGGUAACACAUCUUUAUAUUCAUCUCGCCGUGGAAAUGCAUAUGAGCCAACGGAGGGAGGGGACCCAUGUUACUAGUGGUAGCCCGCAAAACAUUUUCACCUUUUGUUACCCUGUCAACGGUAACUAUGAGCUCCUACCGAUGGAGGAGAAUGGUGCUAGCAGCACACACGGUAUCUACACCAUGGGCGACCAUGCGAAUGAAAACUUCGGUGUACGAGAGGAGGCAACAAUCGUGGACAAUAAUGGAUUGUCCUUUGGUUGUGCAAUGGAGAAUACGGGGAUCACGGUGACGGGUGAGGCACCGCUGAUGGCAGACAAUAACAAGAUGAAGGUGUUGGAGAACAAUAUUUCCAUAGACCAACCAGUUGUUGCCCCACAUCAAUGGGGUUUUUGGACCGACGAGGAACACAGCAUGGGCGGCCUUGUUAAUGAAAACUUUGAGGUACAAGAUGAUGAGGGUACAGCCAUGGAUGAUAAUAGAUUUUCAUUUCAUUGCGCAUUGGAGGAUACAAGAAUCAGGAAGACGGAGGAGGCUCCGAUGAUGGUAGACAAGAACAAGAUGGUGGUCUUGGAGAACAAUACUUCUGUUGAUCGACCAGCUGUUGCCGCACAUCAACGAAAGUUUUGGACCAAAGAGGAACACAAGUCAUUUCUUUAUGGGCUGGAAGUCUAUGGCCGUGGCGACUGGAAAAACAUAUCCAAGCACUUCGUCACCACUAAGACCCCUGUCCAAAUUUCAAGCCAUGCACAAAAGUUUUUCAAGAGAAUAGAGAAAAAGGCAUCGUCAGGGACAAAGCGUUACAGCAUCAAUGAUGUCAGGCUCCAUGACAAUGAGCUAUUGGCAGCAAAUAAUAGUUCUGCCCCUCGGCAAACCCUUUCUUUCACCAGCCUCAACAAUGACCCAAGCUAUAGGUUGCAGGCUCCGACGAGCUCGUUCGCAGUCAUGAACAACCUAGCUCAGUGCUCGCCUUCCAUAUAUAAUCAACAAGUGGGCCAGCAGCCAAUGUGGCGUGAGCAGCAGAUGAUGGGUUCUACUGCAGCUGUAAUGGGCGGGGUAGGAAACUAUGUGCCUGAUGGCCAACAAGGGUCAGCUUAUUUUUAUCUUGGCAAUGUGUGA
rnacentral:rRNA from 1 species